ACCAAGACCUGAAGAGUCCCCGGAGCAAUAAUGCUCCCUGAGGUAGAAGCUGUCCUCAACACCGACAGGAGUUUGGUGUGUGUUGGGAAGAGGGGCUUAUUAACUCGUCUGCUGCAGGUCAUGAAGAAGGAGCCAGCAGAGUCAUCUUUCAGGUUUUGGCAAGCUGGGCUGUGGAGAGUUUCCUCCGAGGGACCACUUCCUAUGCAGACCAGAUGUUCCUGCUGAAGCGAGACCUCCUGGAGCACAUCCUUUACUGCAUUGUGGACAGCGAGUGCAAGUCAAGGGAUGUCCUCCAGAGUUACUUUGACCUCCUGGGGGAGCUGAUGAAGGUCAACGUUGAUGCAUUCAAGAGAUUCAAUAAAUACAUCAACACCGAUGCAAAGUUCCAGGUGUUCCUUAAGCAGAUCAACAGUUCCCUGGUGGACUCCAACAUGCUGGUGUGCUGUGUCACUCUGUCCCUGGACCGAUUUGAAAACCAGGUGGAUAUGAAAGUUGCCGAGGUCCUGUCCAAGUGCUGCCUGCUCGCCUACAUAGCCCAGGUACCCACGCAGAUGUCCUUCCUCUUCCGCCUCAUCAAUAUCAUCCAUGUGCAGACGCUGACCCAGGAGAAUGUCAGCUGCCUCAACACCAGCCUAGUGAUCCUGAUGUUGGCCCGACGGAAAGAGCGGCUGCCUUUGUACCUGCGGCUGCUGCAGCGGAUGGAGCACAGCAAGAACUACCCCGGCUUCCUGCUCAACAACUUCCACAACCUGCUGCGCUUCUGGCAGCAGCACUACCUGCACAAGGACAAGGACGGCACCUGCCUCGAGAAUAGCUCCUGCAUCAGCUUCUUAUAUUGGAAGGAGACAGUGUCCAUCCUGUUGAAGCCGGACCGCCAGUCACACUCUGCCCUUGUUAGCUACAUCGAGGAGCCUACAUGGACAUAGACAGGGAUUUCACUGAGGAGUGAGCUUGGGCCAGUGUGGGUGAGCGUGGGUACAAUGCCACACACCCUGCCCUGUUCCCGUGCCUCCCUGCUGCUCUCUGCCUGCCCCAGGUCUUUGAGAACAGGCUUGGUGGGAGGGAAGUCCUAGAAGCCCUUGGUUCCCCUGGGUCUCAGGGCCCCAGGUCAUUGGAGAGCCUCAGUCCCCAUAAUGAGGAUGGGGUACCAUGCCCACCUUUCCGUCAGAACUGUGGGGCCCAGGCCCACCCAGUUGUAAGAGGACUUUUAACAUUAGCUCUGUCUGAGCUCCUGCCUGGUUACUUGGCUGUCAGUCCCAGGAUGGGGAGGAAGAUAUGGGUGACCCCCCUCAUCUGUGAGCCAAGCCUCCCUUAUCCCUGGCCUUUAGACCCAGGCAAAGGCUUCUGAGCCCUGGGCAGGGGUGGGGGUUACCAGAGAAUGCUGCCUUCCCCCAAGCCUGCCCCUCUGCCCUUCCUGCCUCAUUUUCCUUUAGCUCCUCUGCUUGUUUGCUCAUUGGCUGCUGUGUUCAUCCCAGGGGGCUCUCACAGAAGUGGAGGGGCCUUUACCUGCAUCCCCUGGGACACAGGACAGCAGCUCCUGCCUGAGCCUGGACAUGGGGCUCUUCCUUGUGUUGCCAAUUUAUUAACAGCAAAUAAACCAAUUAAAUGGAGACUAUUAAAAAACUUUAUUU